rnacentral:lncRNA from 1 species
GGCGAAUGGGGAGGCAGCCCUCAGCUUGGCAGAGUGCUCCGAGCGGCCCUCCACUCUCCGAGGGAACGCUCUUCAGCUGACUGAAGCAGGGGAGCUGAGCCAAUCAGAGGCCACUUUCCUAGCUCAGUCACCAGUCUGUGGUUAAGGAACGGUUCUGCUUUUUUAUGCUCUGUGUUGGGAAGGCAGAUAAAAUGCCAGGUCUGGACUGCCUCUGGGGAUAAGCUCACCCUGUGUGAUGUGAAUGAAUAGCAUCUUGCCUGGCACAUCCACAGCAGUUGAUAAGGCAGGUGCAGUUCUUCCAAGCAGGCCUUUUCUGUCUUUUUACCUCUAUAGCAGCUUUGGUUUUGCCUUGAAAGAGGUGCUUUGGAUUAUCAGACCUCCAUGUAUGACAAUUUGUACCUGCAUGGAAUCGAAGACUCGGAGGCUGAAGAAUAAUGUGAUGUGUUACCCGAGAUGGUGUGAACAAAGCUUCAAGCCAAUGGAGAAGACUAGGCCUAAAUAGCUGACCCGGUGAAGUGAAAAAUAAAGCCACACCUGGAGAGCCACAUCCUCUGCAGUCUUUCUCAAUGCCAAUGCAUUUAUGGCUGUAAGUGUGGGGUUUGCCCAGAUGCAAGCUAAGCUCUCGGAACAGGUCUGGUGGAUAGGUGUGCUGAUGGCCAGCUGCAGGCCGAGAAUACAC